UUAAGCGACUAAGCGUACACGGUGGAUGCCCUGGCAGUCAGAGGCGAUGAAGGACGUGCUAAUCUGCGAUAAGCGUCGGUAAGGUGAUAUGAACCGUUAUAACCGGCGAUUUCCGAAUGGGGAAACCCAGUGUGUUUCGACACACUAUCAUUAACUGAAUCCAUAGGUUAAUGAGGCGAACCGGGGGAACUGAAACAUCUAAGUACCCCGAGGAAAAGAAAUCAACCGAGAUUCCCCCAGUAGCGGCGAGCGAACGGGGAGGAGCCCAGAGCCUGAAUCAGUGUGUGUGUUAGUGGAAGCGUCUGGAAAGGCGCGCGAUACAGGGUGACAGCCCCGUACACAAAAAUGCACAUGCUGUGAGCUCGAUGAGUAGGGCGGGACACGUGGUAUCCUGUCUGAAUAUGGGGGGACCAUCCUCCAAGGCUAAAUACUCCUGACUGACCGAUAGUGAACCAGUACCGUGAGGGAAAGGCGAAAAGAACCCCGGCGAGGGGAGUGAAAAAGAACCUGAAACCGUGUACGUACAAGCAGUGGGAGCACGCUUAGGCGUGUGACUGCGUACCUUUUGUAUAAUGGGUCAGCGACUUAUAUUCUGUAGCAAGGUUAACCGAAUAGGGGAGCCGAAGGGAAACCGAGUCUUAACUGGGCGUUAAGUUGCAGGGUAUAGACCCGAAACCCGGUGAUCUAGCCAUGGGCAGGUUGAAGGUUGGGUAACACUAACUGGAGGACCGAACCGACUAAUGUUGAAAAAUUAGCGGAUGACUUGUGGCUGGGGGUGAAAGGCCAAUCAAACCGGGAGAUAGCUGGUUCUCCCCGAAAGCUAUUUAGGUAGCGCCUCGUGAAUUCAUCUCCGGGGGUAGAGCACUGUUUCGGCAAGGGGGUCAUCCCGACUUACCAACCCGAUGCAAACUGCGAAUACCGGAGAAUGUUAUCACGGGAGACACACGGCGGGUGCUAACGUCCGUCGUGAAGAGGGAAACAACCCAGACCGCCAGCUAAGGUCCCAAAGUCAUGGUUAAGUGGGAAACGAUGUGGGAAGGCCCAGACAGCCAGGAUGUUGGCUUAGAAGCAGCCAUCAUUUAAAGAAAGCGUAAUAGCUCACUGGUCGAGUCGGCCUGCGCGGAAGAUGUAACGGGGCUAAACCAUGCACCGAAGCUGCGGCAGCGACGCUUAUGCGUUGUUGGGUAGGGGAGCGUUCUGUAAGCCUGUGAAGGUGUGCUGUGAGGCAUGCUGGAGGUAUCAGAAGUGCGAAUGCUGACAUAAGUAACGAUAAAGCGGGUGAAAAGCCCGCUCGCCGGAAGACCAAGGGUUCCUGUCCAACGUUAAUCGGGGCAGGGUGAGUCGACCCCUAAGGCGAGGCCGAAAGGCGUAGUCGAUGGGAAACAGGUUAAUAUUCCUGUACUUGGUGUUACUGCGAAGGGGGGACGGAGAAGGCUAUGUUGGCCGGGCGACGGUUGUCCCGGUUUAAGCGUGUAGGCUGGUUUUCCAGGCAAAUCCGGAAAAUCAAGGCUGAGGCGUGAUGACGAGGCACUACGGUGCUGAAGCAACAAAUGCCCUGCUUCCAGGAAAAGCCUCUAAGCAUCAGGUAACAUCAAAUCGUACCCCAAACCGACACAGGUGGUCAGGUAGAGAAUACCAAGGCGCUUGAGAGAACUCGGGUGAAGGAACUAGGCAAAAUGGUGCCGUAACUUCGGGAGAAGGCACGCUGAUAUGUAGGUGAAGUCCCUCGCGGAUGGAGCUGAAAUCAGUCGAAGAUACCAGCUGGCUGCAACUGUUUAUUAAAAACACAGCACUGUGCAAACACGAAAGUGGACGUAUACGGUGUGACGCCUGCCCGGUGCCGGAAGGUUAAUUGAUGGGGUUAGCGCAAGCGAAGCUCUUGAUCGAAGCCCCGGUAAACGGCGGCCGUAACUAUAACGGUCCUAAGGUAGCGAAAUUCCUUGUCGGGUAAGUUCCGACCUGCACGAAUGGCGUAAUGAUGGCCAGGCUGUCUCCACCCGAGACUCAGUGAAAUUGAACUCGCUGUGAAGAUGCAGUGUACCCGCGGCAAGACGGAAAGACCCCGUGAACCUUUACUAUAGCUUGACACUGAACAUUGAGCCUUGAUGUGUAGGAUAGGUGGGAGGCUUGGAAGUGUGGACGCCAGUCUGCAUGGAGCCGACCUUGAAAUACCACCCUUUAAUGUUUGAUGUUCUAACGUUGACCCGUAAUCCGGGUUGCGGACAGUGUCUGGUGGGUAGUUUGACUGGGGCGGUCUCCUCCUAAAGAGUAACGGAGGAGCACGAAGGUUGGCUAAUCCUGGUCGGACAUCAGGAGGUUAGUGCAAUGGCAUAAGCCAGCUUGACUGCGAGCGUGACGGCGCGAGCAGGUGCGAAAGCAGGUCAUAGUGAUCCGGUGGUUCUGAAUGGAAGGGCCAUCGCUCAACGGAUAAAAGGUACUCCGGGGAUAACAGGCUGAUACCGCCCAAGAGUUCAUAUCGACGGCGGUGUUUGGCACCUCGAUGUCGGCUCAUCACAUCCUGGGGCUGAAGUAGGUCCCAAGGGUAUGGCUGUUCGCCAUUUAAAGUGGUACGCGAGCUGGGUUUAGAACGUCGUGAGACAGUUCGGUCCCUAUCUGCCGUGGGCGCUGGAGAACUGAGGGGGGCUGCUCCUAGUACGAGAGGACCGGAGUGGACGCAUCACUGGUGUUCGGGUUGUCAUGCCAAUGGCACUGCCCGGUAGCUAAAUGCGGAAGAGAUAAGUGCUGAAAGCAUCUAAGCACGAAACUUGCCCCGAGAUGAGUUCUCCCUGACUCCUUGAGAGUCCUGAAGGAACGUUGAAGACGACGACGUUGAUAGGCCGGGUGUGUAAGCGCAGCGAUGCGUUGAGCUAACCGGUACUAAUGAACCGUGAGGCUUAACCUU
rnacentral:rRNA from 1 species